rnacentral:rRNA from 1 species
UUUAUGGAGAGUUUGAUCCUGGCUCAGGAUGAACGCUGGCGGCGUGCCUAAUACAUGCAAGUCGAGCGAACGGAUGAGAAGCUUGCUUCUCUGAUGUUAGCGGCGGACGGGUGAGUAACACGUGGAUAACCUACCUAUAAGACUGGGAUAACUUCGGGAAACCGGAGCUAAUACCGGAUAAUAUUUUGAGCCGCAUGGUUCA